CCUCUAAUGGAUAUUCCAUCUGUAUGUGUUGCAGGAUCACUCUCAACGGGAUGAAGGUGUCCAGGCCAGAUGUCCGCAUCGGCCGCUACAGAAUGAUUAAGCAUGAGAGGGACAAACACAACGAGCCAAACCCACAGAGAUUCAACAAAAUACAGAACACAAAGAACACAAUGAAGAAGGAUGGCAUCAGCUCCUUGACCUACAAACUGGUUCAGGUGAAGAAGUAUCCUAUGUACACAAACAUCUCAGUGGAGAUCGGCAAGCCGCCGCCUCGGCCCAUCAAAGGCUAGAGAGAGAGUAAAAGAGAGAAGAAUCUAAAGUUGAUGCACUUUUACCUGGAUGGGAGAGAAGAAAGGAAGGUGUGGAGAAGAGAAGGAUGAUGUGACUUUCUCUUUUUUCCCCCGUUUACUUGUUUGAGAUUUCAGCUUGACAAUUUUUUUUACUGGAUUUCACUAGGGAUGCCAGCUGCCACCCGGUAACAGUCAGCGACGUUAAAAACCUUUGGAAACGGAGCAGGAAUGUCAGCAGCUGACAGAAGGUUGUUGUCAAACUCAAGAGUCGUUCCAUGAACUAUCGUCUGCAAACUCGAGGGCAUCCAGCAACAUAUUGGCAGGAACACCAAACAUGGCUGUUAUAAAACACCUUGCCCCUGUUCUGGAGAUGCACACACAAUAACUCGGUCAGAUUUCAAAACGAGCUUCGGUUCACCACAAUGCUUGACGACAUGAACAGGAUGCAGCCUCCGGUUGGGAAACGCAUGAAAUUACCAAACAUUUGCAGUGAUGUUUUGCAGGUAACAGAUUACCCGCAGGAAUAUGAACAUUCAGUGGUUCAGAUGGUUUUUGUUGUCCCCAAGACAUCAUCUUGUCUUGACACAGAACUGUUUCAUGUUGACAUUUCCCUCUGGGAGUUUUCAGUCUGAAUCUCCAAACUCAAACCUUCUGCUAUACGUCUAUGAAUGUUUAACGUGCCUGCAUCUACAGCAGAAGACUCAUGAAAUCAGAGCAGCAAUGAACAACUGGGGUGGGGUGGGAUGGGGUGGGGGGACUCAUUUUUUUUCUUUCUUCUUUUAUACAUUUCUGAACUUCAAAACAGAACUGGAAUUUUGUAACAAAAAGAUACAAUUAUCUGAAAAGUUUUCUUCAGUGCGCAGCCUGGUGGAAGUACGUCGAAACGUGAAAAAAGAAAAACAUACUGACAGCUCGGGUUAUGGGUUCCAGUUUUCCUUUUGUCUUUUAUUUUUGUCUCUGAGCCUUACUACAGUUUUAACAGGCUAAUCCGUUUUCUCAAGGUGCAAUAUGCUAUGAAGUUUCUUCAACAUUCUGAACUCAUCAAAUUUUGUCAAAAUAAACAUGAAACCUGAGCUAUCAGGUUAUGUUUUACAGUCAAGUAGCAUUGCGGCUAAAAACAUUGGCUUGCAAAUCUUUUACACUGACAGAACUAGUUGAAAACUAAGUCUCGUGGUUAUUUUUUAAGCCUGCAGUAUAGCCAUGUGGUCUUUUUUUUAAACAAAUAUCAUCAACUCUAUAUGGUGUUUAUGAGUCACUUUUGUGUCUAUCUUUUGCAUUCAGUCAUUAGACAACAUAUCGAAAUGGAGUAAAUUGUCGAAAGGAAACGUAAAACUUCUCUGGUAAUAUACAGAGCAUUGCAAAGGUACUCAUGCUUCCCAUAUUUUGUCUCUAUCUUGAUGUAAAUUAUUAUUUUAUGUGACGGACCAACACAGAGUUCAGCAUAUUUGUGAAGAGCAAGAAGUGUGAAGUGGUUUUUUGCAAACAAAACUCUGAAAACUGUGGAGUGCAGUUGAAAACCCCUUACUCUAAUACCCUUAAAAAAAUCUUCUCCAGUCUUUAGAAGCAAUCUAAUUAUCAAUCACCUGUAUAAUUUUAUAUCUCAGUAUAAAUGUAGCUGUUCUUUGCAGACUUAAGGUUUUCCUUGAAAGACAUUAGUGGAAAAAUAAGUAAUGAAAUUCAAGGAAUACAGCAGACAGGUCAAUUGUGGAGAAGUUUAAAAAGGAUUGAGUAUUGUUAUAAUAGCAAAGCUGAGACAUGGCUGUCUAUCUGACCAGCUGGCUGAGGAGAGAACUAAUCAGAGAAGUCAUUUAGUGGUCCUUGACGCUUUAGAGACUCUCUAUUCAAGUCGAAGAAUCUGUUGACAAGACAACUAUCAGCACUCAAUGAAUUUGGCUAUUAAGGACAAGCUGCAAAACAAAAGAUAUUGCUGAAAGAAACCGUCUUGAUCUCAUUUAAUCUUCGUCUCAAGUCAUGUAGGAGGCACAGCAAAUACUGUGGCAGAGGGUUCUCAGGUCAGAUUAGAGCUGCAUUGUAAAACACUCUAAUCCUGAUUACACCAUGUCUAUUGUGAAACAUGGUGGUGGCAACAGCAUUCUGUGGGAAUACGUCUCUUCAACAGAGAUAAAGUGAAAACUGGAGACUGAAAAAGAGUCGAGUGGAGGUUGACCUUCCAGAUGAUCUAAAAGACUUUUGGACAUUUGGAAGUGGGACCAAAUACAGUUGGACUCAACAUUUCAGAUUAUUAAUGUAAAAAAAAAAAAAAAAAAAAAAAGUUUUGGUUUAUCACAUAAAAUUAAAGUUUGUGGGUUCAACAUCAUUAAAAAGUUCAUUGGGUUUGUGUACAUUUGCAAGCCACUGUUUAAACCAGCUGAGAAUUCUGUCUGUGACUUUUAUGGAUUUUGUUCCCACAUUUGAGUAUCAGCCAUAAUAAUCAAAUAUUCAUAUCUUGUUCUGCUUAAUCACCUCGAUGCAGUUUGUCCUGUAAAGAUGCUUCACAACAUUCAGUAACAUAAGUUGAACCAGGCAUACACAAUAUUUAAUUUGCUCUUCCAUCAACACUUCAUAGCCUUGGACAGCUUUGUCUCCGAGACAUUGCUCUACUUCCUUUUAUGUUUUUAAUUUUUCUCGCCUUUCUUUGUUCGCCUAUUAAUGCCCACACCUCCAAACUAAUGCCUUGAGAAAUAAUCUGUACUAAUUCAAAGGUCAGACCUGGGAGAAAAAAAAAAGAAAGUGUCUGAGAAAAUCUAAACUAAAGAGGUUGAAGUGAAUUCCCUUAACUGUUAUGCUUUAGCGAAAAUGAUUUCACCUUUUUGGUCAGCCUUGAGGCAAAAUAGGUUUCAAUCUGCUUGGCUCCUCGCCUCAAGCCUGAAUGGUGGACAAUAUAAUUGCUCCUCUUUUCAGACACCCACACACACACACACACACACACACACAUAAAACACACUCAUUCACACCAUCUGCCUUUUUUAUGUAUUAUCUCCCUUCUCGCUGCCUUUCCAUUCUUACUCUGCCAGUCUGGGCUGUAUUGUAUCGGUGGCUCACUGUUGUGCUUUGUGAUGGACCCACUUCAGGCACAUCGGGGCCUCACAGGAAGAGUGCUUCUUCUUUCAACAGAUAUCGACAGGAGCUCUCUUUGUCUGUAUCUUUAUUUUGUCUCUAAUCACUGCUUCUCAGCACACAUCCCCACUUGUGAGUCUUUCUAACCCCCCACCUGUUUCCUCCUUCUCUCUUCACUGUCCAUUUAGCUCCUUCUUGCCUGGAUUAAGGCUUUCUCUUUUUUCUGUUUGAUUAGUCGUAUUUCUGGUGCUUUUCUCUUUUCUGACUACAAGUGGUCAACGUGUUUCCUUAUUGAAACGGUUUACAGCAGUAUUACACAUCAGUUCACAUCUGUUGCAUGCUCUGCUUUAUAGUCAUUAUUAAGGAUGGGAGGUCAUAGCAUUUUUAGGGGGUCAGUUUGUAAUACAGAUUCAAUUUUUUGUUGUUUUUUUUGUGGUUAUAAACGCUGAUAAUGAGAAAGUGCAGCAAUUGCAUAGUUUUUCUCAUGGUCUUAAAGGGGCACUACAGCAAAGGCAGAAAGCUUUUAAAGUUUGGUGACUUCAAGGUCACAUUAUUCAUAUUUUUAAAACCCUAAAGUCUUAAAUCCCAUUAUAAACAUGAAGUGCAAUGACAUUUGGUGCAAUCUUAGUAUUGCAAGUUUUGGUUAGGUGUAUAUAUGCUUAAUAACACAAAAAAAUAUAUUAAAAAAUAUGCAUUAUAAAACACUACACAAUUGGAUAAAAAAAAUCAACUCCAAUUGUCAAGAACUGAUCUCAAAAUUGAUCUGCUUACUCUUCAAAGAGCCAUAAAAUUACAAAUUCAUCUACCUUGCAAAAGCUGAACUGCAGUGGCCAGCAACAUGUGAGGAAGGAGCUACAGCCAAAGAAAACUGAGGUCACUCUGCUACUUUCUCUGCCAUCUCAUUGAAAAGAUUUGAAACUGUAGGAAUGGUGUGACUGAAAAUUUUAGCAAUUUGAAAUUUUGAUAUAGUUUGAUUGCAACAAUCCGUCCUUGCCCAACUGGCGGCAAUCCUGAUUAAAGUUACCCUGGGUUUGCUUUGCUUUGGAACUUAGAUCUGAGACAGACAUCACAUCUGAGUUUGUUGGAGCUGCAAAUCAAGAAACUGAUCGUACCAAGAUAAUUGGUACGAUCAGUGCAUGGCCUACUAUUGGCAGUGCAAGGUGAUAACAUUUUAUCUUUAGUUUUAUGUAUUUAAAUAUGUAAACAAAUAGUCCAAAAGCACUAUUUGUCCCACUGGUUUGUUGUGUUACAAACAUUUUAUUCCUGUCUUUAACCAAGUUUUACACAUAAGGUGGCCAUAUUGGAUGUUGAACUAGGAGUUGCUCAGAGACCUACAACUUCUGCAGCCAUUUUGUUGAGAUUUUGUAACUUGGAACUUGACAAUUCCUGUUUCUGAAGUACAAAUUCUGAUUAAUACAUUUUAUUUGCGGCAGACGUCACACCCUAGUUUUACUCUUUCUUGUUGCAAGUUGAAAAAUCAGUUGGUUGCAAAAUUUUUUGUGUAGUGACCAGGCCUUUGUUUCAUGCCUUCAAGCAUUUUCACAAAUUGAAGCUAUUCCAUUUUGGUGUAUUUACACACACACUAUAAAAAAAUGGCUGAAAAAAAGAAAUGUUUUUUUUCAUUAUGCCUGGCAUGAAAUCAGAUUGAACUUUUACAUUUUAAGUAAAUUGAGAUACCAAAAUUGUUUUUGUUCGAGAAAUGCCAGAUUAAUGAGAAGAAAAUAGUUCAGAAAGCUUUUGUUAUUUUCUUCAGAGUCGGAAGUUUAUGUAUGUCCUUAGUAUUUUAUAGGAUUCUUUUAAACGGCAUGUCAAACAUGUCAGAUAACUUUUCACAAGCUUCUGAAAGUAAUUUCCUGGCAUUUUGGCCUAAACUGAGAUGAGUUUGUUGGCUGUCGUUCUAAAACACACCAUUUCAGUUUGAUUUUCUACGGGACUGACAUCAGGGCUUUGAGAGCGCUACUCCAAAACUAACUUAAGUCAACUUUUACUAAAUUAGCAGUAUGCCUAUGUUCCUUGUCCCUUUGGAAGAUUUGCACCCAAACUCUAACUUCUUGGUUUAUGUAUAGAGAUGUUGCUGUACUAAUUUCUCCAUCGAUUUUGUGAAGUGCACCAGUCCCUCCUGGAGCAAAAGUUGAGAGGGUGCUCUGAAGCUUACAAGUCUCUCAGUGUUUCAUCCAAAUGUAACUAUGGUCAUUAUAGCCAAACUGUCUCCAUUUUUAAGUAGCGUGAUUGCUGGUAUAUAUAUAUAUAUAUAUAUAUAUAUAUAUAUACAGAACAGAUAAACAAUUCAUGGAUGAACAAAACUUCUGGUAGUUCCACAAUCAUCUCCCUGAUGUUUCUUCUUAUUUUCUGAUGAUUAAUUGUUGCCUUAAAUUACAUUCACAGAUGUGCCUCCAAUUUACUCAACUGUUGUGAAAUAUCCUUUUAGAAGAUUACAGAGGUAUUGCAUCAACUGGGCUUCCCCCCACACCCCAAAUUUUUAAAGGACGCUAACCUCAGUGCCAGUAAACUUCUGACUUUGAAGAAAAAUAAUUCUCUCUCUUGUUAUCCUGGCAUUCAUUCAAAUGAUUUUAGUCAUUCCAAUUGAGCACUCACAAGUUAAAAUUCAGCAGUCAUGUUGAAUAUGAACUUGGGAGCACUCAGAGACCUCCACUUAACAAGCUGGAAUUUAGAUUUUUAGAGCCAUGCCAUUUAUUUUAGGAUGUGCAACUCAGAAAUUCUGACUUCUAAGGUAAAAGUCAAAUGCAGCAUCACUCCAGUACUUUCUGACUUUCAUCUCAUGUUAAAAAAAAACUUUUUUUAGGAAAGCUGUGAAAACCACAGCACACACUCAUACCAAAUUACAACCAAAAACCCAUUUUUUUGCAAAAUUUACAAAAACAUUGUUUCAAUGCCAUCUUAAAACAAACCGAGUACGAGUCUGAUACACCACCUGAAACUUUGAUUGGAUUAAUUGUAGGAUGUUAGAUAUGUGCAGUGGAGACAAUAAGUUUACUUAUACUGGACAAAAGACACAAAAACCUUUCUUUUUUUUCACACUACCUGAAGUUAAAUCAGACCAGACGUUUCCUGUUUUAGGUCAGUUAGACUUACCAAAAUGAUUUCUAUUUGAUAAAUGCCAGAAUAAUGAGAGAAAAUAUAUCAGAAACUAAUUUAAUGUUAUCAUUUAACAAAAUCAGAAUUUACGUACAGAAAAUGACUAUCUCUUUAAACAAUGAGGGAAGGCCCAGGCUUUGGAAACUUGUGGUGGGUUAAAUAACACAUUUCAGUAAAUUGGAAGUUCACUCCUGAAUAUAUUAAGGCGAUGCCAAUAUACUGCUUUCUUGUUUAACACAAUGGAAAACCCACAAAAAAACAGCCAAGGAAGGAAGUCAUGUAGGAAGAGCAGUAAAAUUACAAGCUUUAUUCCAAGAGAAACAUAAAAAAAACAGAUUGAAAUUUACAAAUGUUGGCAGGAACCUUGAUUUGAUGGAAAAAUGUCAUAGAACUAAACUGUUUGACCAUAAUGACAAUCGUUAAAUCUGGAGGAAAGAUGUGAGGUAUACCUCACCCCCACAUGUGAGGUAUGGGGGUGGCAGCAUGAUGCUGUGGGGCUGUUUUGGUGCAGGAGGAACUGCUGCACUUCAUAAAAUCAAUGUAAAAUCAAUGCCAUCACGGGAAACAAACAUUACGUGAAAAUAUUCACAAACAUUUCAAGACAACAGCCAGGAAGUUGAAGCUAGGGCACAAAUGAGUUGUAAUUGGUAAUUCUAAUUGAACAAAAACAACAGGAGUUUGAUCUGAAUUAACUUCAGAUGGUGAGAAAAAAAAAGUGUAUUUGUCUUUUUAUUUUGUGUAUGUAAACUUCUGGAUUCAACUGUAGCUGGAAAGAAGGCCCCAGUGUGUAUAAACUGUACCAUGCUUCACCAAGAUCAGUAACCAACGUAUUUAGCAAAAAAUGUAUUUGUGGCCUCUGCUUGAGAAUCAAACAGCUGUAUCACACCUCUGGUGGUUAAAGUGUUUGAAUCCAUCUUCAGAUGCACUUUUUGCUCUUCAACUGCUAACAGCCAACAAGAUCUUCAGGCCUGGAGGCGUUUUUAAAACUUUACUGUACCUAUGGCUUUUUUGUACGUUGAAUGUUGAAAAUGUUAUAUCUUAUAUAGAAUGCAUUAUGUCAUAUCAAACCUACUUUUUCUAUACAAUUAAUAAAUCUGAUGGUAAAGAUUG